CAGCCGCCGCGGGAAUACGUAGGGUGCAAGCGUUAAUCGGAUUUACUGGGCGUAAAGCGUGCGUAGGCGGCUUCUUAAGUCGGAUGUGAAAUCCCUGAGCUUAACUUAGGAAUUGCAUUCGAUACUGGGAAGCUAGAGUAUGGGAGAGGAUGGUAGAAUUCCAGGUGUAGCGGUGAAAUGCGUAGAGAUCUGGAGGAAUACCGAUGGCGAAGGCAGCCAUCUGGCCUAAUACUGACGCUGAGGUACGAAAGCAUGGGGAGCAAACAGGAUUAGAUACCCCAGUAGUCCCUGUCUCUUAUAC
rnacentral:rRNA from 1 species